GCGCUAUGCGCAAUUCUUUUUCCAUUUACGCGGGAAAAGUUAUUGAGUAAUGGCGUCCUAAUACUUUCUGUGUGUGACACGUGCUAAAAUUCCAUAAUUAUCGUAAAGAAGAUUCGAGAAAGUAAUUCCAUUCACAAUUCAAAUCUUUCGCUGAAACAGUUCAUCGUGUAGACAACGUUCACAUUCGAGCUAUUUAUAAGAAAUUCAUACAAAAUCAGGACAUAAUGUGUGAUGUGAGUGCUUCUUUUACCAAUUAAACGCGAGAUUGGAAAACUAUGUCGCACGAGUUUCAUCCAAACUAGAUGGUUUUAACCAUUUUACACGAGAUUGACUAAACAUAAAGUCAUUCGACUGAAACAGAUUUUUUCCAACUGCGCUUCCCACGAGUCUCUUCCGCGACGCUUAACCGAGACGAUCCUCCUUUCCCCGUCCGUCUGCAACAAUCUUGGAAUGGAAAACGAGCGGAACCCAACAACGAUACAGCUUAAACGAUGGAACCACAGUGAACUAUGGUCGUAACGGAGGAAACAGUACCUGUAACGAAUUGCGUCUGGACUUUGCGAUAGAUCAGUGAGACGAGAUGCGAGCAAGCGAAAAGGACGAAGAUAAUAACCGAUUAAAAAUUAUCUUUUCCUUUACACGACGAUAUCUCGGGAAUCUGAACUCGUAUCGAGAUAAAUCAAGAAUAGUUUUAAAGGAGUUCCUUCUGCCAACGUGUAAUGUGAUAAACGAGAGGGCCUGGUCUCGGUGUCGUCUUUAUGCAGGUGCACGUGCCUCCGCUUAACUAUGGCAUAACUACUGGGUCGGCGAGCUUGUGACAAACUGCAUCGUAUAAAUACAUCGCGUGAAUGCGUGCGGUUAUUUUUUACCGGAUAAGCUCUUUCGAGCACGGACGCUGUGUGACUGAUAAAAUUUAUGCGUAUGAACUGGUCAUGUAUUAUUUAUUAUUACUGUUUAUUCCAGAUUUCUAUAUGUUCAGAUGUAACAGAAGUUACAUCUGUGAUGAUUUGUUAAUAUUGAAACUAGCUUCUUAAGAGAUCAAAUAAGAUUCUAUAUCGAUAUUAUGAUAAUUAAUUUGAAACUUACAAUAUUUUGCAAGUGAAGAAAUUGUAAUUAUAUGCUAUGU